rfam:Candidatus Buchananbacteria bacterium RIFCSPLOWO2_01_FTLL_46_12 rifcsplowo2_01_scaffold_5355, whole genome shotgun sequence.
GGAGAGGUGGCAGAGUGGUCGAAUGCGCCUCACUGCUAACGAGGUGUCCCGCAAGGGACCGCGAGUUCGAAUCUCGCCCUCUCCG